UAUUCAGGGAGGUGCUAAUGAC
rnacentral:miRNA from 1 species